rnacentral:rRNA from 1 species
CCUACGGGAGGCAGCAGUAGGGAAUGUUCGUCAAUGGGCGCAAGCCUGAACGAGCGAUGCCGCGUGAGUGAAGAAGGCCUUCGGGGCGUAAAGCUCUGUUGCGGGGGAAAAAAGGCAGCAUCAGGAAAGGGGUGCGGACGGAGGGUGCCCCGCCAGAAAGGCACGGCUAACUACGUGCCAGCAGCCGCGGUAAUACGUAGGUGGCGAGCGUUAGCCGGAAUGAUUGGGCGUAAAGGGUGCGCAGGCGGUCCUGCAAGUCUGGAGGGAAACGCAUGAGCUCAACUCAUGCAGGGCUUUGGAAACUUGGGGCCUGGAGCGCAGGAGAGGGCGGUGGACCUCCCUGUGUAGCGGUCAAUUGCGUCGCUAUUUGG